CAUGUACUCCCUCCGUUCCGAAUUACUUGUCGCACGUAUGGAUGUAUCUAGAUGUAUUUUAGUUCUAGAUACAUCCAUUUCAGCGACGAGUAAUUUGGGACGGAGGGAGUAUGAC
rnacentral:pre_miRNA from 1 species